rnacentral:rRNA from 1 species
CCGUAACUGACGCUGAGGAGCGAAAGGGUGGGGAGCAAACAGGCUUAGAUACCCUGGUAGUCCACCCCGUAAACGUUGGGAACUAGUUGUGGGGUCCAUUCCACGGACUCCGUGACGCAGCUAACGCAUUAAGUUCCCCGCCUGGGGAGUACGGCCGCAAGGCUAAAACUCAAAGGAAUUGACGGGGACCCGCACAAGCGGCGGAGCAUGCGGAUUAAUUCGAUGCAACGCGAAGAACCUUACCAAGGCUUGACAUAUACGAGAACGGGCCAGAAAUGGUCAACUCUUUGGACACUCGUAAACAGGUGGUGCAUGGUUGUCGUCAGCUCGUGUCGUGAGAUGUUGGGUUAAGUCCCGCAACGAGCGCAACCCUCGUUCUAUGUUGCCAGCACGUAAUGGUGGGAACUCAUGGGAUACUGCCGGGGUCAACUCGGAGGAAGGUGGGGAUGACGUCAAAUCAUCAUGCCCCUUAUGUCUUGGGCUUCACGCAUGCUACAAUGGCCGGUACAAAGGGCUGCAAUACCGCAAGGUGGAGCGAAUCCCAAAAAGCCGGUCCCAGUUCGGAUUGAGGUCUGCAACUCGACCUCAUGAAGUCGGAGU